rnacentral:rRNA from 1 species
UACGGAGGGUGCGAGCGUUGUUCGGAAUCACUGGGCGUAAAGCGCGUGUAGGCGGCCCAUUAAGUCUGAUGUGAAAGCCCGGGGCUCACCCCCGGAAGUGCAUUGGAAACUGAUGGACUCGAGUCCCGGAGAGGAGAGUGGAAUUCCUGGUGUAGCGGUGAAAUGCGCAGAUAUCGGGAAGAACACCAACGGCGAAGGCAGCUCGCUGGGACGGUACUGACGCUGAGACGCGAAAGCGUGGGGAGCGAACAGG